GUGCACCAGUCGAGAAACUUUACAAUGUGCGAAAGCACGAUAAGGGAACUCUGAGUGCCUCCUAAGGAGGCUGUUCAGGUGUCUAAAAGCACCUGAAGGAAGGGCUGGGUAAGACCGGUGCCAGCCGCCGCGGUAACACCGGCAGCCCAAGUGGUAGCCACGUUUAUUGGGUCUAAAGCGUCCGUAGCCGGCUGGGUAAGUUCCUUGGGAAAUUUGGCUGCUUAACAGUCAAGCUUUCAGGGAAUACUGCCCGGCUUGGGACCGGGAGAGGUCAGAGGUACUCCAGGGGUAGGGGUGAAAUCCAUUAAUCCUUGGGGGACCACCGGUAGCGAAGGCGUCUGACCAGACCGGGUCCGACGGUGAGGGACGAAGGCUAGGGGGCGCGAACCGGAUUAGAUA
rnacentral:rRNA from 1 species